rnacentral:rRNA from 1 species
GACGAACCGUGCGAACGUUAUUCGGAAUCACUGGGCUUAAAGCGCGUGUAGGCGGAUGGGUACGUCGGUCGCUGAAAUCCCCCGGCUCAACCGGGGAACGGGCACCGAAACGACCCGUCUGGAGGGACGUAGGGGGACCUGGAACUUCCGGUGGAGCGGUGAAAUGCGUUGAGAUCGGAAGGAACGCCGGUGGCGAAAGCGGCGCGCUGGACCUCUUCUGACGCUGAGGCGCGAAAGCCAGGGGAGCAAACGGG